CACCACCAACCAAGCAGGAUAAAACAAUAAAGCUAACAAAAAGAUAAAAGUGAUACACAUAUCUACUCUCACCCCCCUCCCCCAAACAUAUUACAGAACAUAAGUUCGAAAAUAAGUUUGGAGGGAUGAUGAUAUGUGUGUCACUACUCACAGAAAAAAUAUGGUCCAUGGUGGUGGUAUGAACCAAGCGCGAGUUCCCGCAUCUUCCAAGCACAACGCUGCACUAAAAACCCCAAAACAAAGAAAACAAAGAAAACAAAGAAACAAAAAGAAACUAAACGAAAGGAAAACAAAACAAAGAAAACGGUUGGGUUACCUCCCAACAAGUGCUUAAUUUAACGUAUAGAGCUUGACGAUACCUCAAAAACUCAUGGAGGUCGGAAACAGCACUCUAACCAUUGGAAAGCUUUUCUACUCUUGGGUGCCCUCUCCACAAAAACACUUCUCUUGGCUUGGACAUCCUCCACAAGCAUUGCCCCCUUCUCAUUCUUG
rnacentral:lncRNA from 1 species